ACAUUUAAGUAGGCUAUCGAUUAUCUCUCGUGACAAAUAAUCAAAACUAACUGGACAUUCGAAAGCUUCCCUGGCGUCCGCAUCUGAUUGACGCAGCUGGGCUGAGCUGAGUUGAAGUGUGGUGAAGUGAGGCGCGGGAAUGGGCUAAUCGCAUUUGUGGUCAGGCGCAAAAUGUCUCAGUUUCAGUUUCAACUCUAGAUCGCUGGGAUUGUCAGGUUUUCAUUCCGAAUCGAAAUGCACUUUUCUCUUUAAUCCUCUGCGUUGGUAUUGGAUAAGUGAAUGUACACCUGCAGCUCUACAGCCUUCACAUGGCUAUCAAGCAACCAUGGCCAGAGCUCUGGCUAGAGACCAGCGGCCUACUCUCAGCUCCAUGAGUAUGCAUUACAAUUUUGGACUUCGUGCUUCGGCAGAGGAGCGGAGAGGAGUGCAAGAAUAAGGAGAACACAGAACAAAUAAACACAUUCUACUGUUGGCAAUAAGGCAAAGCUAAUAACCGCACGAGUGCAAAACACUUCCCCCUUCCCCCUUCCCUCUUCCCUCUUCCCUCUUCCAUCUUUCCUCUCCACUCCUCAGUCUUCUCUUAUCCCACAUUACUUUUGACUCUCUGCCGCGUUUGCUCAAGUUAAAAAGCCGCAAGAUCCCAAAUCCGGUUUCCUUCCUAUUCGAAAGAAAUCAACAUGGGAAUGGAUCGAAUUCUACUCCUAUUUAACGCGUAUUUCUUCCGCCUGAGCUCAUUGCCAAUGGGAAAGAUGUGAAUAAUACGAAACCCUAUUGAGCUUCAGUCCAGUUAAGUGAUGUCUCUCAAACCAUGUAGAUCAGUGUUCGCUACUUAAUUAAUUGGAGUUGGCAACAUUCUCAUCAGUUCGCCCGUCUGUUCGUCUCUCCGUCCGUCCGUUCGCAUGGACGCAAGCGUGAGACAGAAGAGUUUAAUUCACUUUGCGAUGGUUCAUCACAAUGAAGCGCUGUUCAGGGUAUCUGUUAGUCGGUCAUUGUCGACUGCUGAAUUAUCUCAACGUGAUCUCAAUAGACAUUAUCAGCUUUCAUCGUAUAGUUACCCAAAUCCAAAUCCAAACUUAAAUCCCAAUCAAAGACCUGACGCAGUGCGCCCCAAAAAGCGGGCUCAAGGCCUGCUCCAUAUAUGAAGACACACAUAGACGUAUGUAUAUAUAUAUUCCUAUGUAUUCGGAUUUCGAAUUAUGCAAAUUAUGUACAUUAGGUUAUGUUAUUGUAAUUGCAGUUUUGAUUUGGAUAGAUGCAUAAGUCCCAGUGCGAAACGUCACUCGACUUUAAUUGUAAAAGCAAAAGCAGAAGGCAGCGCCAAGGCGAAGAGAGGGGGCAAAACCGAUGGCAGAAGCAAUGCAAAGGUAGAGGUGGAGGUAGAAGUGGGGGUAAAGGCAAAUGCAAAGAGCCAUAAUAAUUAAAACAAAUCCCCAGCGAUGUUGCUCGAAAGUCAAAACAUAAGUUGAAAGUGAUUUGUCAAAACAAAAUGAGCACAGAUUGGGGGAAGCAACAAGGUCGACUGCGGUGUAUCUCAUAACAUUUGAACACACAAUUGGGAAUUCGAAGCGAGGUAACAUCUGGUCAGGUUAUUAGCGAUUCCAUCACACUGCCAGGCGGCAGAGUUAAGCUAGAGCCAUGGAGAACAUAUCCCCACUCAGGCUUUUUCAUUCGGAUUGGAAAGUCUCUAGUUUGAAAGGUCAUCAAAUUCCGCUUGAAACUGGUUGAAUGUGUGAUUCGAACACCAUGGAAGAUUCCCGGUUGAUUGUCAAUGUGUGGCCCGUGUGGAUGUGUAAAUCGCCUUUCUGGAAUAGGAGAUAGAGGUUUUUCCGAUUUGUCAGACCCCUGGGGGAGUUUCGUAAUAGUGUGCAACGAGGGAUUCCAAAUUGCAUGUCGAGCUAGAGAUCAUUUACACAUUUAUUCGUACAUUGCAAUAUGUAUUAAAUAAUCUCCUAUUCAUCUGUCGAACGCGGAAUAUAAUCUUGAACCAAAUGUGCUAGCGCGCCUUCGAUAGGCACAGAUGCUAGUCUCGUGAUACGGCUAUGUAUAAACAGAGAACUGAACAAUGCGAGAACGGAUAUGUGUAUAUAUGAUAUAUACAUCAGUAUCACUAGAAUGAUCCGACUGGCACAAAUGUAUAUACAUACAUAUGUAUGUGUCGAUAUAGCUAUGAAUGAAUGUGGGAGAAAGCCAUUUGUUAAUAUAUUUGUC